ACUACAUAGACAUCUCCUUCCAAACCUCUAGAGAUGAAGAUUAGGCUGUCCGUAGGCUUUCUUCCUCGUUUAUAAUUUCUUUCUUUAGGCGGGAUAAAUCAAUUCUUUAAAUUGUUUAUACUGUAUUUCGUGCCUAAGAAUAUCUAAAGCUGACAAAGUUUAUUGGUCACCCUUGAUCAAUCCAUUCUCAUAUUCAAUAUUACCAGCCCAAUAUAAAAUGAUCAUAAAGGGACGACUUAGAGCCAUAACAACGAAUAUAAGAGAAUUUAACUGCAAAUCAUAUGAUAAAUGACAUUAAUUAGUAUCUUAAAUUUAAUGUUGACACCAUUCAUUGGUGACCUUGGAGUUGUACCCGCCAUAAAGGAGUNCAUGGAGAUUUUCUGUGAUAAUGAAGGAGCGGUUGCCUUGACCAAGGAACCGAGGGAUCAUGGUAAAUCUCGACAUAUUGACAGAAAAUAUCACUUCAUUAGACAUCGUGUAGAAGAAGGACAACUCGUAGUGAAGAGGAUAUCAUCAGAAGAUAACCCAGCAGAUCCGCUUACGAAGGGACUGAGUAGGGUUAAGCACUUGCAGCAUGCUAGGAGUAUUGGGCUGAAGGAUGAUAUUAGCAUAGAUUAGAUAGUAGUAGAAACAUGUAAUAGAUAAAUGUGGUUGACAUUUGAUGAUUAAAUAAAAGAGUAUUAUUUAUGAGUAAUGUUACUAUCUUAUGUUAAUUAUUUAACUAUUGUUUCAUUUUGCAUGUUUUGACUUCCAGAAUAAUUGAAUUUAUUAAGAAUAAUCGAAUUAUUCAAAUUGUCCACAAUCGUUCAUAUGUUGGAAGUAGAUAUGAAUGAAGAUUGUCAUGAAUUGGUGUGUAGAUUGUCUAAAUGGUAUUAGACAUAGCAAAAGAUUGUUGCGACGUUCAUGAGUGCUUAUGAACUGGUUUUGAGCAUUGGAACAAACCUGUGCUUGCUGGAAUCACCUGAUGGAAUACGACAAAAAGGGUGAUCGCAAGAUGAUAAUAUCAAAUAGUCUUAAAACCUAGAUAUAUGGUUUGUUAUUNNNNNNNNNNNNNNNNNNNNNNNNNNNNNNNNNNNNNNNNNNNNNNNNNNNNNNNNNNNNNNNNNNNNNNNNNNNNNNNNNNNNNNNNNNNNNNNNNNNNUUUUUUCUUUUCCCUGCAUCAAUACUGAAUGCAGUUGUUGUUACAAAUAUAUAUGUGCUUGAUUUAGUAGUUUGCAAUUGGGGUUUUUUUUUUCUCUCAAUUUAGUGGAGCAAAUCGCUUGUGCGUUGGAGAUCAAAUUAUACUCGGUUGAGUAAAUCAUCUAUAUUUUAGGAUGUUUGGCAUUAUCCAACCUCCUUUAACAAUAAGGUCAAUGCAGUUAACAAUGUUAUGUCUACAAUUUAUGCAGAAUGAAAAGCAAUUAAGAAUAUUUGCAUUUGUUAUUAAUAUAGUAUAUAGUAUUAUUGCUCAUUACUUUACUCUAUUUCCACUAUUCCUACUGAUAGUCAAACUCCUUGACUAUGACUCUGAAGUUGCUUUUUAGGUAGUAUACAAACAUCAUAACAAAGACAAUGUAGAUGUAGAUUCAAGCAAAUAGUAAAUUAAGAUAUAUGAAAGAAGAUGUCAUGUUCAACAUUGUGAACUGUAUUUGUGAACUUUAUGCUCCAAAUUACCCCUUCCUGGAUAAACUUGCAUACUAUAUGUAGGAUUAUUGAUCUUCCUUUGACUUUAUCUUCUUCCUAACAAGACACAUUCAAUACUAACAUCUCAUUCAAUUGUAAUCACCCAUCCUUCUAGAUAAAACUGAAGAUAUAUAAAUGUAAUUUCACAUCCCCAACAGAUGUCAUCUUACCUGUUUAUGCAUCAUUUUAACCAUAAUCAAGAUAACUGACCUAAUUUUCUCUUUAUACAUGUUCAUAUCAGUUUACCUUCCUAAUUUUCUGAUUUGUUAAAUCUGUAGACACAUGAGAUUGUUUAGUUUUCAAAGUACAUUAAAGAGAAGCUGAAAGAAAUACUCCAACAUAUAAUUUUAUAUUAUGACCUUAGAAGGAGAACUAGAUGAAAAACAUACCAUCUCAGCCACUUGUAGGACUUGACUAAACCCAAACCACGAGGAUGAAAACUGGGUCUUUAGACGCCUCUUUCCCCUACUGAAGCAGUGUGAUUAAAAAAGAAUUAAAAUAAAGAAAUUAAAGAAAACCUAGUGGUCAUCUAUGUAUAAAUCAGCCGGGUACAAAAGCAUCAACGUAUAUUAGGAAGAUUCUCCAUUUGUUCAUUAGAGGCUUCAGCCCCUCUUUCCUAAAUGACAAUGCACUUAAUUUCACCAACUAAUCUAUAAGGAUAAAGAUAUUGUUGGGGAUAUUAGUUAUAGAUACUUAAGAAUGGAUGAAAUUAUGAAUUUCUUCAAGUAUUAGUUACUGUGAUGAAGUUAAAUGUGUACAAGUUCAUUGCAGAUAAUACCUCAGGCUAAGCAAGAUUGCAGAAAGUUAGAACUGUCAUUCGCAAAACAAGAGCACCAUUAGAAAAAGCAAAGAAAGAUUGCAGAAAGUUAUAACAAAAAAAAAAGAUUAUAGACAAACUAGUUUACCAGAUAUGCCCUCCCAUACAAGAAAACAUUGACUGCACCAAAGGAAGCUUUUUAAAAUCUUAAGUCACAAGGAGUGACCCAUUUGACAUACUAUUGUUGAUCUCACAAAAUAUUCUUUCAACUUUGAAAGUAAUAUCAGUGAGAAAUAAUAGGCAUAAUAUAAAAUAAUAUAAUCAUAAUCGAGGGGUAAAACAGUGGUAUGGAUAGAUACACAACAGGUGACAUUAACUUCAAUAUCAACCAGACAACAUGGAAUUGUCUUUUCUUCAGCCUUCAUCCAAAAUUCACAAUAAAAUUCAUAACAUUGGCUACAAUAUCCUUCAAAAAAAAGUUUGUUGGUGUACCUGGGACAUCAUCUGUUGUUUGUUCAGAAACUGAGUCCUUUCCUUGUUAAUUAUUGAUUUGGGAGACUUAUACAUCCUCUGUGAUCGGUAAAUUGGUAAAUACUUGUAUCAGUUAACAAACAUGACACCCAAAAAGUAACAAGUUUAUGAAUAAAGAAAAGAAAGUGUGACCCAAAAAGAAUAUGAACAAACCAAACCUUAUCAAUCCCUAAUACAUGAUCUGUGCUUGAUAGAAUCCUUUUCUUUUUCUGUGAAGUCAAAUACCUCAUGAAGAAAUUCAUUUUCCUGUACAAAUUGAAUCAAUCAUUUAUAUAGUAAUGUGUUAAAAAUAAACAAUAUUUUUCUAUUGUGAUCAUAGUUUUACAUCCUUAAAUGCACCAUUCUUUAAGUUGAAUGUAAAACAUAAAUAACAAAUUUUCUUGUCAGUGUUGUCAGUGUUGAGAAAAGAAAUGAAUUGCCUAAUCGAGACAAGUUGGGAGUCCCCAGAAAGUUCAGGCUCGGGGAUGGCACACUGUUGUACAGAUCUAUCGAUUGCUUGAAACAUCCAUCAUACAACCCAAGGAAAAUCUUUAAGAAAACUACUUUCUUUUGAUUCAAUAUCAUACAACUAGAUCUUUUUACAAAUGGAUCACUGCUAAUCUUAGUUUGUAUCAGAUCUUGUUAAGUUUAGUGUGAUUGUUCUUUUCUGGUAUAAAAAAGUUUCAGAAUUCAUAUAAUCCAGUUUGAUCAUGUCGGUAUAACAUGAUUCAGUAUUCAAAUGAAUUCAGAAUUUCAGCGGAAUCUUAUAAAUUGUUGAUUGUAUAAGGAAUUAAAGUAGAAUCCAAAAAAGUGGGAUGGGGUCAUACCUGUAAGUUUGAGGCCACGAUGGGUUUAAGGAACUAGGUUUUCUUUGAUGUUGAGGGUUAUCAUCUGAAUAAUUUGAAAUUCUAAAUCAUUCCCAUCGUCUUCACCUCUAAUGGAGUCCUUGUCUUCCUCAUAAUCUUCACUCUCGAUGAAAAAGGCUUGAUCUGAUAUUGAAUUCUUCAUUUUCUCACAAAUUCCGUAGCCUUCUUUUCAGAUCUCUGAGACUUCAAACAAAAGAGGUUAAUCUCGUGUAAGAUAAGCUUUAAACAAAAUCAACUCAUUAGAAUCAUACUCAACUUCAAUAUUAAUCUAACCUAGGGCUUGUAAACUUGAACAAUCGUUGUAGUCUUUGGUGAGGUGAAGUGAGCCCGAGGUCACCGGUGAAAACAGAUGAGUCGAGGUCAGAGGUGAGUUUAGGUAGAUUCGGUAGUGGUGGAGGCGGAUUAGGGUUUAUAGAGAAAAGGGGAAGGAGAGAAAGACGGUUGUCGUCUGGUGGCGUGCUUGCGUUGAUCGACGCCGACGACCGGGAAUGGCAAGUAAUGAUGGUCGAAGCGGGUGGGAAGAAGUAGGGAGCCGUCAAUUUCGGGAGGGGAAAGAAGGAGCGUCGAUAAUUAGGGCAAGAGGGAAAGUAAGAAAAAGGAAGGCGGGGUUUUUAAGUUUUUAGGAUUUCAUUUCCCCUGCCCCCCAACUAUUAAAGGAUGGAACCGUGUUUCCAUUAAAAUUUAUAAAGCGACAUUUUCAGACGACACACAUUUUAUUAUAGGCGCCCUCCGUGUUUUUUUGUUUAACACUAAUUUAAGGGCACGCAAAAAUGCGCGUUCUAAAUCCUUAAAAUUUAUAGAGAGAUGACAUUAUUUUUUGGUCACACACUUUUGCGUAUCGUAAAUCGGUGCGUAUCAUAAAUUGCACGUCGUAAAAGGCUAUUUUUCUAGUAGUGUGAACUGGUUUUGAGCAUUGGAACAAACCCGUGCUUGCUGGAAUCACCUUAUGGAAUACGACAAAAAGGGUGAUCGCAAGACGAUAAUAUCAUAUAGUCUUAAAACCUAGAUAUAUGGUUUGUUAUUUGUUAAUUGGUUAUACAUUGAUAAUGCGAAAACGCAUCAGUAACUUGGUGUUAUAAAACACAUUGUUGUGUAUAGUUGAUUAAUGAAUAAGUAAAUGCAUAUAAGUCGAAGUUUAUCUGAUACUUUUAUCCCAGGAGGGUAAAAGCGAUAUCUCGGCCACUCGAUGAUUUGAUUUGACUUAUGUGCCGGGCCCGGUCAGAACUGAAUUGAUGUGUUCGAUUAAGUUCUAUGUCGAAUAAAUCAGAGAUCGAUAAACCAAAAUGCUAGACAAAUCAUUCCAUAGAAUUGUCAGCAUGAUAUCUAACAUAGGACUGUACGAUCCCUUAUCUAAAGGACAAGAUUGAUUAGAUCAGAGUUUGACAGCGUCUUUGAGAGCUACGAUUGUGAAUCGGAUUGUACUUGUGUAUAUAGUUACUAGACUUAUCCAAGUGGGAGACUUUUGGAAUAGUGUCUAAGGCUGCAACUAUAUUAGGCAAGUAUUUGACCCGAUUGUGCAUGGUCCUUUUGGGUUGCCUUCACCAUAGCAACUUGAUAGGAUGAUUUAUUAUGAGAGUAUAGAUAUUAUUAAUAUAUUAUGAGAAUAAUAUAAGGAAUAAUAAUAUUGUUAUUUGAUUAAUAUAAGUCAUAGAUUAAUUAGUAUUAAUUUGGUGACUUAAAGAGAUUAAUUAAAU
rnacentral:lncRNA from 1 species